rnacentral:rRNA from 1 species
UGUGGUGUUCGGGAGGGUCCAUUAUCCCGAGAUUAUGCGGUGCGUCCAAGUCCUUCUUGAACGGGGCCACAGCCCAUAGAGGGUGCCAGGCCCGUAGUGACCGCCGCUGAUCGCGGGAGGAUCUCUCCUUAGAGUCGGGUUGCUUGAGAGUGCAGCCCUAAGUGGGUGGUAAACUCCAUCUAAGGCUAAAUAUGACCACGAGACCGAUAGCGAACAAGUACCGUGAGGGAAAGUUGAAAAGCACUUUGAAGAGAGAGUUCAAGAGUACGUGAAACCGUUUAGGGGUAAACCUGAGAAACCCGAAAGGUCGAAGGGAGAAAUUCAUUCGCGUUUCGCGGCAGGCGGUAGAUGGUCGUGUGACGGGAGGCGUUCGCGCUUACCGCACCUUCUGUUUAUCGAACCGGCAGCGAACGCGUGCACUUUUCUCCUGGUAGGACGUCGCGAUCCGUUGAGUGUCGGUCUACGGCUCAUGGUGGAGCCCGUUCGUACCACGUGUGCGAGCGGACCCGUGUGUCCCGGCUGACUCGCUCGACGGUAUACGAAAGGUUAAAGGCCGCUCUUGGAGCGUUCGACCCGUGGCAAGCGCGCCAGAUGCGUUGGCGAUCGGACCUAGUGCCGAUUCUGACCUCUGGUGACUGUUGGCUACGGAUGUCUCGGACAGACCUUCCGACCGAUCUGCGACGCUAUAGCUUUGGGUAAUUUCAGGACCCGUCUUGAAACACGGACCAAGGAGUCUAGCAUGUGCGCGAGUCAUUGGGAAUCACUAAACCUAAAGGCGCAAUGAAAGUAAAGGUCUUCCUUGCGGAGACUAAGGGAAGACGAGCGGUUUACCCUUAAAAGUGGCCGCUCCGCAUUCCCGGGGCGUCUCGUUCUCAUUGCGAGAAGAGGCGCACCAUGAGCGUACACGCUGGGACCCGAAAGAUGGUG